rnacentral:rRNA from 1 species
UGGGGAAUAUUGGACAAUGGGCGCAAGCCUGAUCCAGCCAUGCCGCGUGAGUGAUGAAGGCCCUAGGGUUGUAAAGCUCUUUUGUGCGGGAAGAUAAUGACGGUACCGCAAGAAUAAGCCCCGGCUAACUUCGUGCCAGCAGCCGCGGUAAUACGAAGGGGGCUAGCGUUGCUCGGAAUCACUGGGCGUAAAGGGUGCGUAGGCGGGUCUUUAAGUCAGGGGUGAAAUCCUGGAGCUCAACUCCAGAACUGCCUUUGAUACUGAGGAUCUUGAGUUCGGGAGAGGUGAGUGGAACUGCGAGUGUAGAGGUGAAAUUCGUAGAUAUUCGCAAGAACACCAGUGGCGAAGGCGGCUCACUGGCCCGAUACUGACGCUGAGGCACGAAAGCGUGGGGAGCAAACAGGAUUAGAUACCCCGGUAGUCCACGCCCUAAACGAUGUCAACUAGUUGUUGGGGAUUCAUUUCUUCAGUAACGUAGCUAACGCGUGAAGUUGACCGCCUGGGGAGUACGGUCGCAAGAUUA